AGUUGGUCAAGCGAGUGGAGCUUAGAAUCCAAAUUAGAAGAAGAAGAAGCAAUAAGGGUUUGAAUAAGGGACUGCGGUUCAGGGUAUGUGAGUGGUUUGGGGAAAGAGACGAGGGUAUAAUUGGAAAUGAGACUCCGAAGGGCAUGAUUAGGGAUGAGAGAAACCGGGUCGGAAAUGGGUAGCUUGGUAAUCGGGCAAGUCCGGUGGCCGGAGUCUACCCACCGUUGGAUUGAAGAGCGGUCGAAGGUGUGACCCG
rnacentral:misc_RNA from 1 species